CCCAGACAGCCAGGAUGUUGGCUUAGAAGCAGCCAUCAUUUAAAGAAAGCGUAAUAGCUCACUGGUCGAGUCGGCCUGCGCGGAAGAUGUAACGGGGCUAAACCAUGCACCGAAGCUGCGGCAGCGACACUGGUGUUGUUGGGUAGGGGAGCGUUCUGUAAGCCUGUGAAGGUGUGUCGUGAGGCAUGCUGGAGGUAUCAGAAGUGCGAAUGCUGACAUAAGUAACGAUAAAGCGGGUGAAAAGCCCGCUCGCCGGAAGACCAA
rnacentral:rRNA from 1 species